AGGGGAUGUCAGGUCAGGCACAUGCAAAAUAUUUUAACAUAAUUCCAUAUUGUCCAGUUUCUUCACAAUGUAAAUAGACGGAUGUGUUCACAGAUGUCUCACAGGAGUGGGAGGGCGGCACAGAGUGGGCCUCUUGUCUUCUCUUUCUUCGUGGUGGGUGGGUGGAGCUGACCUGCUCAGCCAUGCAGCACACCUGUGCAGGUUGAGCUCAGGAGAUUAUCCAGCAGCCCCACCAGCUCCUCUCACUUUCUCUUCCUCUGGCUGACUGAGCGAGAUACCAGUUUGCAGUUUGUGCAUUUGCUCAGAAAUGCAAACUGGCUCGUGACCGUCCACACGUUUAAUGUUUGGUUUAUUUAUUUUAACUCAAAUACUUCUCAUCUAAAGACUAUGAGGGUAACUGCAAGACUUGUCAUUAUAAUUUCUGACGAGGUGGAAUUUCAUGUUUUUACUUUUUUUCUUUUUUGCUUGCAACUAUGAGAUUUUUUUGUGUGUGUUUUUGUCUGCCUCAUUAGGUUAGUACAAUCUCAAGGUAAGCACAGAGCAGAACCUUCAGUCUUUUGGCUUUGCUUACUGUGUCCCGCACAAGACAGAGAGAGCUAGAGUUGGAGCAGAGAGGCACUCGGACUGAGCUAAACCGCUGAUGAAGCUCUUACUCAGCAGUGUUAAGACUGCAGUAUGUAUUGUUACUCAGUUUCAUCUUCAUAAUCUCCACAGAGCCGAAUGUUUUAGAGCUCAGCUGGAUUGGGUAAAAAGCGGAAGGAAAUCCAUCUAUUACACCCCGCAGGGUCCUCAUAUAGCGUCUGAUCCCAUAAUCGGCUCUUUCAACUAUUUCAGGACAGAAUAUGGUCGACCAAACUCGUAAAAGGAUUUAUGUGCAUUAAGAGUGUUUUGGUGUGUGUGGUAGUGAACAUAUUGCAUUGAUGGCAAGCGUUGAUCCCCAGCAGGCACCAUUAGUCUGUUUGAGUACUGUCAGGAGUGAUACAUCAGGCCGGGUUUGUUGGUAAAAUAACUGCUUAGGAAACCAUCUGGGAAUAUGAACACACGCACACGCGUUAAGGCAUGUGAGUGUGCGCACUUACUGGAUACAGAACCAUGUUCACAUACGUUCUGGGCAUGCGUUGC
ensembl:lncRNA